GACGAACGCUGGCGGCGUGCCUAACACAUGCAAGUCGAACGGGGGUAUGAAUAAUACCCAAGUGGCGAACGGGUGAGUAACGCGUGAACAACCUAACCUUUAGAGGGGGAUAACAUUCGGAAACGGAUGCUAAUACCGCAUAAGACCACACUGCCACAUGGUAGAGAGGUCAAAGGAGCAAUCCGCUAGAGGAGGGGUUCGCGUCCCAUUAGAUAGUAGGCGGGGUAAUGGCCCACCUAGUCUGCGAUGGGUAGCCGAGCUGAGAGGCUGAUCGGCCACACUGGAACUGAGACACGGUCCAGACUCCUACGGGAGGCAG
rnacentral:rRNA from 1 species